GGGAUAGUUAGGACCUUGUUCCCGCAAGGGCGGCCCAUAACAACAUCCCCGAGCCCAGAGCACAGCCUGGACGACAUCCGCGAGGUCACGGAGGAAGAGGUGCUGCGGGCAGGCAGAGACCUGAACCCCAAGAAGGCACCGGGGCCGGACGCGAUUCCCAACCGAGCGACGAAGCUGGCACUAGCGCUGAUCCCAAGCGGGGUCAUGGGUCUGUUCAACAGAUGCCUACACGAGGGUACGUUCCCAUCGAGGUGGAAGAGGCAACGGCUCCUUUUGCUGUCCAAGCCGGGCAAGCCGCCGGGUGAGGCAUCCUCGUACAGGCCCAUCUGCCUCCUGGACACGAUAGGGAAGGUCUUCGAGAAGGUGAUCGCCACGAGGCUGAGCGCAGCCAUCGAAGCAGCAGGCGGCCUAUCCCCGGAGCAAUACGGGUUCAGGAAGGGGAAGUCGACGCUGGACGCCAUCUCCAAGGUGAUCAAAACGGCAGAGGAAGCAUGCGCUGGUUCCAGAUGGAGAGGAGGAUCCAAAUCCUACUGUCUCGUGGUGACACUUGACAUAAGGAACGCCUUUAACUCAGCAGAUUGGAGCCGCACGCUAGAGGCCCUACAGCGGUUCAACAUCCCUGGUUACCUACAGAGGAUAGCGCGUAGUGCUUCAGCGACAGGGUGCUGACGUACGAGACCAGUAUGGGUUCCAGGGCAUACAAAGUCUCAGCCGGAGUCCCUCAAGGCUCCGUUUUGGGACCCCUGCUCUGGAACGCCAUGUACGACGGAGUCCUGAGACCCCCGAUGCCAGCCAACACCAGCAUGGUGGGGUUUGCGGAUGACGUCGCCAUAGUAGUGGGGGCCAAGCACCUCGCCGCAGUGGAGGAGCUCGCCAACGCGGCCGUCCGAGCCGUGGAGUCGUGGCUUACGGUCGCCGGAUUGGACCUGGCAGCGCAGAAGACCGAGGCGGUGCUCAUAUCGAUCCGGAAAGCUGUAGAGACUGCAAGUGUGCAGGUCGGUGGUACCACGAUACGCUCGCAGAGGGCAAUCAAGUACCUCGGGGUGCUCAUCGACACUCGCCUCUCCUUCAAGGAGCACUUGGAGUACGUGCAGAGGAAGGCCAGCGGAACCGCAGGAGCGCUCUCACGGAUGCUCCUCAACACCAGAGGUCCGAAGCAGGCAACGCGGAAGCUCCUGACGAGUGUUGUGAGGUAAACCUGAGCCGCUCAGGUAAAGACCUACAUGCGAGGCGUUGAGGCGACGUACAGGCUGUGUGCCCUACGAAUAGCGUGCUCGUUCCGGACUGUGUCGGACGAAGCUGCGCUGGUCAUUGCGGGGCAAGUCCCACUCAGGGAGCUGAUAAGGGAGAGAGCGGAGAUCCAUACAGCCGUGCAGGGCGAAAGCGAUGCGACAAGAGCAGAGCUGAAGGCUGCAGCGAGGAGGAACAGCAUCAGCAGAUGGCAGAACCAGUGGGACAGGUCAACUAAGGGGCGCUGGACUUACACCCUCAUACCGAAGCUGCAAGCCUGGAUGGAGAGGAAGCACGGCCGGGUAGAUUUUUACCUCACCCAAGCGCUUAGUGGUCAUGGCUGCUUUCGCAGCUACCUCCAGCGCUUUGGCCACGAGACGGAGGACGGGUGCCCAGAGUGCGGCACCGGUAUAGUGGAGGAUGCACAGCACGUCUUCUUCGAAUGCCACCGGUUUGACCACGAGCGACACCGCAUGGAGACAGCAGUAGGCGCCAGGAUCUCCUCCGAGACCUUGGUGCCGAUCAUGGCCGAGCCAAGGACAUGGGAAGCGGCCGCAGAGUUCGCCUCGAGCGUUAUGCGAACGCUGAGAGCGUUGGAGAGGAGUCGUAAACAGGAGACGGAGUAGGAGCCUUCGAGCGUGCGAAGCAAUGCUUUGCGGCAGUACCGCGCGCGACGGGCGCCCACUCCCACUAGCAAAUACGGCCCUCAUUAUGAGUAUACCCACUAGUGUAAGAAGUAUUAUUAUUAUUAUUUUUAAAGUAUUAUUAAAGCUAGAUAAUUAAUUAGAAGGAAUAAACAAAUGAAUACAAAAAAAAAAAAACACAUCACACUCAUCACACACACAGCACUCCCACAAAAAAAACCCGCACGUAUUCACAUAGAGAUAGUCACCCAUAUUAACCCUAUUAUUAAAAUGAUACACAGAAAAUAAGCCCCAUCGCCCAUACAUCAUACCCACUCAUACCCACUACAACCUUAUUCGCACUUGGUAUAUUCAUUCCCGGAACACUUAAUCAAUNCCUGUAAUUUUGUUUGAUUUGGACUUGAUAGUUCAAAACCCAAGUCGUCACAAAAAAAUAAAAUAAAAUAAAAUAAAAUACAAAAAAAGAACAACAACCAAAAAUAUGUUAGAAUAGGUUUUCGUAUAGGUCCGUUUAAUUAAUCCAUGUAAGCGGAGUCUAUUUUUCCCCCCGAAUACCACCCCCUUUUCCAAACUUAUACAUAUCAUGCAAUAACUACUAACAAGAGCUCUUUUUAGUUUAAGUUAAUCAUUUAAAUUUGCAUACCACUUUCAGCUUUGUUUACAUAAAAUUUGGGGAUGCCACCUCGGGCAAAAGAAAAAUAGAGUCUGUAUAUUUUUUGAAUGUUAGUAUUUUUUAUGUUAGUAAUUAUUUAUGCAAGGUGAAUGUCAGUCAAGGGAUACAAAUGUUUUAGGAAUUAAGUAGUUAUAAAAUUAAAAAUAAAAAAAUGUUGAAGAAUGUUUGAAAACCUGAAAAGAAAAUGAAAAUGGAGUAGAGCUUACUAGAUUG
rnacentral:lncRNA from 1 species